CCCAGCGGUUCAUUCAUCAAUAAGACAUAGAGGUGAAAGUUGUUCCUGUUGUUCUUUGUCUCUUGUGUUGAUUGAAGCCUUCAAUGACUCUGAUCAGGACAUUAAGAGGAUGUUUUGGGGCAGAUUGUCUCUUUAAAAGCAGCUGAAGGAGACUCAGGUGAGCUCCGUCAUUAGAAACUGGAUCAAAGCUCUUCUCCACCAGGCGGCGCCACUCUGAGUCUCAGAGACCAGAAGAUCCUGAUCCGGAUCAUCAUGAACCUGCUUUGAGACGCUGUGAUGUCAUCACUCCUCCAUCUUGGACUGGAACAAGGCGUCUGAUCCAGAGGACGAGUCAGCAGGUUGGACCAACACAUGGCUCACUGCCGUCAGCUGGAAGAUCCAACAGCUUCAUCAAUCAUUUCUCUUUUAUUCAUGCAUUCAUAGUUUUAUUCAUCCUGUGAAAGAGACAAAAGGAGGGACAGCGCCUCCUGCUGGACGACUGCAAGAAUACAAAUCCUCCAGUUUAUUUCCAUCACAGAGAUGAUAGAAGCUGAUAUUUAUCAAAGAUCAAUGCUGGAUUCAAACCUGUGACCUUCAGGUCCAGAACCCUAGACUCUUCCUCUCCACCAGAGGAGGCGGAGCUUGGAGCCAGAAAAGUUUGACUUCAGACUUUGACCCAGAAACUCUCAAAAUGGUCUGAUUAUAGUCUGUUGAUACAUAUUAGAGCAUUAUGUGGCCAGAAAUAACAAAAAAACACCAUAUUUUGAAAUGUCCAAAAUUUGGAAAACAUGUUGAUUUUUGUCUUCAGGUUGAGAACCCAUGACUAUACCACUACACCACAGCAGAGAUGCAGGUGACAGGUGGAAAGUGAACGAUUGGAGUGUAAUUAUUGGAGUGGAUGGGUAGAAAAGGCUAUUUCAGGCUGGACUUGAACACACAACCUUCAGGUGUAGGACCCUUGACAUGUCCACGAUACCAGAGGAACACAUGAAGGAAACUGUGCUGUUCAUAACUUGAUGUCAUGAAUGCAGCAGGACGUCUCAAGAGGACAAACUGAAAAAAAAAAAAAAAGAUUUUUGCUGGAUUUGAACCCAGAACCUGCUGCAUUAUGGACUGGACCUUUUCCACUAGACCACAGAGGAGACACUGGAUUCCUGUUUUUUUUUUGACACAGAAUCAUGCACUUAGAAAUAUUAAACAUUUGGUUGAUUGAUUGAAAACGUUCACAAGUAAAAAAAAAAGAAAAAAGAUGCAGGUAUUUACACUGAAUAUUUAUCACAUUUGUGUUGAAAGUCAUGCA